GAAAUAUUUUUCAAAGUACAUGGCUGACUGCUGAGCUAUGUUUGAGGUGUUGAUCUCCAGGUUUGUACUUCUAGAAAUCCAACAUGCUGUACUAAAAAGAUGGAAGAAAGGUAUCAGACUGCAGCAAAGCAAGAUAUACAGCAAGUGCUUCAAACAUCAAGUGCUACAUUAAAAUUUUUAAUAUCUCGUAAUGCAGCUGCUUUUCAAGAAGUGGAGUCAUGUACUGCAUUUUCAAAGGCUUUGUGAGAGGUGCUAUUUUCUCCUUGUAAUUGUGAAAGAACAUUUUUGUCUGCCUGGUUAUCC
rnacentral:lncRNA from 1 species